rnacentral:rRNA from 1 species
UACGGGGGGGGCAAGCGUUGUUCGGAAUUACUGGGCGUAAAGGGCUCGUAGGCGGCCAACUAAGUCAGACGUGAAAUCCCUCGGCUUAACCGGGGAACUGCGUCUGAUACUGGAUGGCUUGAAUCCGGGAGAGGGAUGCGGAAUUCCAGGUGUAGCGGUGAAAUGCGUAGAUAUCUGGAGGAACACCGGUGGCGAAGGCGGCAUCCUGGACCGGCAUUGACGCUGAGGAGCGAAAGCCAGGGAGCAAACGGG